rnacentral:lncRNA from 1 species
AACACAUGGGACAAAUGCCAUCCACAUCCGGACCACACCUAGGGCAGCCUGUGGACAGCCCCCAGAACUAUAGCUGAGGGUCCCACCCUUCCCACCCACGCACACUUUCUGAACACUCUGCUCCAGGCAAAGGGUACCUGAGUGCAGCAGCAGGGCCGUUGGAGCAGCUUUCUCAGGGCUGUCAGCAGUGACCCAGGGAGACCUCCCUCACAGCCUACUUCCUUGUUCCUGAGCAGAGCUAUCCAAUGGAAGUACCCAGAGCCCACACACUCCCUACAGAUUUUUAUGUUGGACAUAAAACAAUGAACAGAGACUAAUGUUGCCCUAGAUGUACCAAGCCUCCUAUAGAGAUUUGUACUGUUUCCUUUCUUGCCUUCUUCUUUCCCUCCUUCCCUCUCCCAGCCAAACAUGAAGCACCCACUAUAUGCAAACAUCAGGCUGGGGCCAGUAGGGGAAACCAUAUCUGUGAACAGGUAAUUCUCAUACGCAGCAGAAUAAGACAGGGGCUGAAUAUCGGGACACACAUCGUGCUCCCCUGUCCAGAGGCUGAUUCAUUCCAGCUGCUGAGAUCAGGGAAGGUUUCAUUCAGGCGGGGCCCUUGCUUUGAGAGAGAAGCAGAAUUUAAAGUGCAGAGUGGGGAGGCUGGGGUGAAGGCCGGGAGUGGCCUCUCCUGGCCAAUCCUGACUGUUCUGCCACUGGGAACCUUGGUCAGGAGGGAGCCCAGGGCAGAGCGGAUGGUGGGGUUGGGAAAAACAGCCGCAGGGCCAGCAAAACAA